rnacentral:lncRNA from 1 species
CUUCUAAUUGCAGUCGUUGUACUUAUAAUAUACAGGAGAACGAUCGCCUUACGGCAAGGAUAGCUGUGCUGCAAGCCCAGCUUCAGACGCGAUCGUUAGGCAAGGGUAAUUUCAGUGUAGGAAAGGAUGAAACAGCGUCUGUGCCACCAGACCUGAGCCCUAGGACCAUGCCUCAGGACUACCUGGUAUGAUGACUCCUUGCUGUCCCCAGUCCACCUGGCCGUGCUGCUGCUCCAGUUUCAACUGUUCUGCCUGCGGCUAUGGAACCCUGACCUGUUCACGGACGGUGCAACAAGCACGUCCGGUGAACAGGUCAGGGUUCCAUAGCCGCAGGCAGAACAGUUGAAACUGGAGCAGCAGCACGGCCAGGUGGACUGGGGACAGCAAGGAGUCAUCAUACCAGGUAGUCCUGAGGCAUGGUCCUAGGGCUCAGGUCCUCCGAGAGAAAGACAGAAAGAGAGAAAGAGAGAAUUAGAGAGAGCAUAUUUAAAUACACACAGGACACCG